rnacentral:snRNA from 1 species
GGAUGUGAGGGCGAUCUGGCUGUGACAUCUGUCACCCCAGUGAUCGCCAGGGUUGAUUCGGCUGAUCUGGCUGGCUGGGCGGGUGUCCCCUUCCUCCCUCACUGCUCUGUGUGCGCCCCCUCACCCCGAAGCUGCGAGCUCCGUGGAAGAGGACAGCCUUCCCCCAACAGAGAUAGCCUGUCUUCGGUUGAGGGAAUAGGAGUAGCUGCGCUCCCCUGCUGGACCCUCCAAACAAGCUCCCUCCUUCUCUCUGUCUUCCCCUCCUCUUUCCUUUUCUCUCUGUCCUAUCCAACAACAACGACAUCAAUUACAACAAUAAUAACUACAACAAAAAAGGGCAACAAAAGGGAAUAAAUAAUUUUUUU